rnacentral:rRNA from 1 species
GACGAACGCUGGCGGCGUGCUUAACACAUGCAAGUCGAACGGAAAGGCCUUGUUCUUGUGGCGUGCUCGAGUGGCGAACGGGAGAGUAACCCGUGAGUAACCUGACCAUGACUUUGGGAUAACUCUAAGAAACCGGGGCCUAUACCGGAAAGGAGCGCCUGCUCCCUGGUGGGGGCUGGAAAGUUACGGCGGUUGGGGAUGGACAAGCGGCUUAUAAGCCGGUGGGUGGGGGCGUGGCCUAGCAAGGCGUUGACGGGUAGCCGGCCGGAGCGGGUGACGGGCAGCAUUGGGACGGAGGUGCGGCCCAGACUCCUACGGGGGGCAGCAGUAGGGGAUAUUGCACAAUGGGCGGAGGCCGGAUGCAGCAGCACCGCGUGCGGGAGGACGGCCUUCGGGGUGUAGACCGCUUUCGCCUGUGACGAAGCGUGAGUGACGGUAACUGGUAAAGAAGCACCGGCUAACUACGUG